UACGUAGGUGGCAAGCGUUGUCCGGAUUUACUGGGCGUAAAGAGCGCGCAGGCGGUCGUCCAAGUUCGCGUGUGAAAGCCCCCGGCUCAACUGGGGAGGGUCACGCGAUACUGGUCGACUCGAAGGCAGGAGAGGGUAGUGGAAUUCCCGGUGUAGUGGUGAAAUGCGUAGAUAUCGGGAAGAACACCGAUGGCGAAGGCAGCCAUCUGGACCGACACUGACGCUGAGGCG
rnacentral:rRNA from 1 species